rnacentral:sRNA from 1 species
AAUUCCAGCACGAAAUGUUCUCUCGACUGUGCUACCAUUCACAUAGUUCCUGAUCUUAGUUCUCACAAAUGCCGCACCUUUUCCUGGUUUAACA